rnacentral:rRNA from 1 species
GACGAACGCUGGCUGCGUGCUUAACACAUGCAAGUCGAACGCUGAAGCCGACAGCUUGCUGUUGGUGGAUGAGUGGCGAACGGGUGAGUAACACGUGAGUAACCUGCCCCUGAUUUCGGGAUAAGCCUGGAAAACUGGGUCUAAUACCGGAUACGACCAACCCUCGCAUGAGGGUUGGUGGAAAAGUUUUUCGAUCGGGGAUGGGCUCGCGGCCUAUCAGCUUGUUGGUGGGGUAAUGGCCUACCAAGGCGACGACGGGUAGCCGGCCUGAGAGGGCGACCGGCCACACUGGGACUGAGACACGGCCCAGACUCCUACGGGAGGCAGCAGUGGGGAAUAUUGCACAAUGGGGGAAACCCUGAUGCAGCGACGCAGCGUGCGGGAUGACGGCCUUCGGGUUGUAAACCGCUUUCAGCAGGGAAGAAGCGAAAGUGACGGUACCUGCAGAAGAAGUACCGGCUAACUACGUGCCAGCAGCCGCGGUAAUACGUAGGGUACGAGCGUUGUCCGGAAUUAUUGGGCGUAAAGAGCUCGUAGGUGGUUGGUCACGUCUGCUGUGGAAACGCAACGCUUAACGUUGCGCGUGCAGUGGGUACGGGCUGACUAGAGUGCAGUAGGGGAGUCUGGAAUUCCUGGU